AAGAAUGAAAAAGGCAAACAAGCCCCAAGCACCUACCGCCAGGCCGCCGCCGCCUCCCGGGCCAGAUCUGCGGGAUAAGCCCAAAUCCAGAGCAGGGCAGAGACCCGGGCCCCUGGAGCCCCCGAAGCCAGUUUGCAGCGCGGGCCGAUGGAAAACGCCUCGGAUGCAGGUGAGUCUCCAUCAGACAUCGGAAAGGUCAGAGUUGCCCCAGCAGGUCUCGGAAGGUUGAGCGCUGCGCUGUGGAGCGAGGCUAAUGUCCCUGAUCCAUUAUUCCUGCUCAGGCCCCUUUCAUUUCGAAACUGAGCCACGUCCCCCUUCCGAAGGAGCAGAGCAGAUACAUAAGAUCCCCAUGCACAGUGCGAUCAGUCCGUUCCCCAUCUCACUGCCUGGCGUAGCUGUCGGGACUUCCUUCUGCUCCAAGGACUUUGGGGAUGGCUGGCAAACAGGUGGGAGGGAGGAAUGGAUGUGUGUCAUCGCCCGGCUCUGACAAUGGAAAGAAAACACAAAGCCUGUUGUCAAAUCCUGUUUCCACAAGCGCUGAGCUGCACUAAUUUCUGCUGGGUGACCUUGGCCUAGGCACCCUAUGCCGUGCUGGGAGAAGGAAAACCCGGAGCCGAUCUGCAGCCCCAAUCUCUGCAGCCCUCUCAGCUCCGGAGCGGGGCCAGGGCGGGGAACAAAAGGAAAAUAAUGUAACUAACACAAAAGAUACACAUCAAAACAACACAAGCGGAUCUCUGCAAUAAACAGCAGGGUUCCCCCA
rnacentral:lncRNA from 1 species